AUGAAGUCACGCUAGGCGAAUAUAUGAGCUUUUUAAUUCAAGCUGAUUAUGGUCUAAAACCAAAGUGGAUCCGUGCAUUCUUUGAACUGGAUGAUUUCAAUGACGAUGGUGUUUUGACUACUGUCGAUGUAGAACUUUUAGACACGCUAGAUACCGAUGGUGAUGGGAUCGUAAGCAAGGAGGAAUGUAUUGAAGCAUGUGCAAAGAUUUUGAAAGAGUUUGACCCCAAGCUGGAGUAAAAAGCUACCCCCAAUCUUUAUCAUAAAUGUUGGCGUUGGUUAAAGGAUGAAACAUGUGAAAGACAUUUCAUUUUGGUGAUUUUAAAAUUUUGUGUGAUACUUCUGUG